UCGUCGGUUGAGCAACGGUUAGCACACGCUCCCUGAAAGAGUGAGAUCUGGGUUCGAACCCCGGCUAACGCA